rnacentral:rRNA from 1 species
GACGAACGCUGGCGGCGUGCUUAACACAUGCAAGUCGAACGGAAAGGCCCUGCUUUUGUGGGGUGCUCGAGUGGCGAACGGGUGAGUAACACGUGAGUAACCUGCCCUUGACUUUGGGAUAACUUCAGGAAACUGGGGCUAAUACCGGAUAGGAGCUCCUGCUGCAUGGUGGGGGUUGGAAAGUUUCGGCGGUCGGGGAUGGACUCGCGGCUUAUCAGCUUGUUGGUGGGGUAGUGGCUUACCAAGGCUUUGACGGGUAGCCGGCCUGAGAGGGUGACCGGCCACAUUGGGACUGAGAUACGGCCCAGACUCCUACGGGCGGCAGCAGUGGGGAAUAUUGCACAAUGGGCGGAAGCCUGAUGCAGCAACGCCGCGUGCGGGAUGACGGCCUUCGGGUUGUAAACCGCUUUCGCCUGUGACGAAGCGUGAGUGACGGUAAUGGGUAAAGAAGCACCGGCUAACUACGUG